rnacentral:lncRNA from 1 species
UCCCAAAUGAAAGGAAAGAUAUAAUCACCUCAACUGCUUGUUGGACAGCAAUGGUUGGCUUGCUUGCAUAUUUGUCGUUUACAAUGGGACCAAUGCCAUUGCUUAAACUCUACGGCAUCCCUUAUGCGGUACAUGCUUCAGUUCCUACAUAUAUUUCUUCAAAACAAUUUCGGUAAAAGUACUACGAAGGCCUUUAGACUAGAAACCGAAUUGCAUUUUACCCCCUCUAUUUAAAAUAAGCAAACUGGUCCUUCUACGUUAGUUUUUAACAAUAAAAAUGAACGAAAUUUUUAACAGAAAGGCCAAGUUUGCUCUUUAGUCUAACAUACAGGGACCAAUUUGCCCAUUUUUUGAGUGAAUGGAGUAAAAUGCAAUCUAACUCUCAGUACAGUGGUCUUAAUGGUACUUUUACCAAAAAAAUUCAUAUUUCUGGUCUGAUAUAAUGGACUCACAUAUAAAAUGGCAGAUAUUUGUGAUGUGGUUGGAUUUGGUGACAUACCUACAUCACCAUGGUCAUGACGAGAAGCUUCCAUGGUAUCGAGGAAAGGUUCGGGAUAAUGUUUAUUCUUCUUCACCAAGAAACCAUCCAUGUUAUGUAUGGUAUAACAAUUGAAACUUCUCUGUGUUUUACUAACCAGGAGUGGAGUUACCUGAGAGGAGGGCUUACGACGCUUGAUCGGGAUUAUGGAUGGAUUAACAACAUCCACCACGAUAUUGGAACUCAUGUUAUACAUCAUCUCUUCCCUCAAAUCCCACAUUAUCACUUGAUUGAAGCUGUGAGUAUCAUCAUCAUCAUCAUCAUCUUAUUUUC